rnacentral:rRNA from 1 species
AUUUCUGAUAAAGAAUCUUUUGCCCGUCCUAAAAGCACGGGCGAAUAAGGGGUGGGCAAGUCUGGUGUCAGCCGCCGCGGUAAUACCAGCACCUCGAGUGGUCAGGACGAUUAUUGGGCCUAAAGCAUCCGUAGCUGGUUUUGCAAGUCUCCGGUUAAAUCCACCUGCUUAACAGAUGGGCCGCUGGAGAUACUACAAGACUAGGGAGUGGGAGAGGCAGACGGUAUUCGGGGGGUAGGGGUAAAAUCCUCUGAUCCUUUGAGGACCACCAGUGGCGAAGGCGGUCUGCCAGAACACGUUCGACAGUGAGGGAUGAAAGCUGGGGGAACAAACCGGAUUAGAUACCCGGGUAGUCCCAGCUGUAAACGAUGCAGACUCGGUGAUGCAUUGGCUUCUUGCCAAUGCAGUGCCGCAGGGAAGCCGUUAAGUCUGCCGCCUGGGAAGUACGGUCGCAAGAUUGAAACUUAAAGGAAUUGGCGGGGGAGCACCACAAGGGGUGAAGCCUGCGGUUCAAUUGGAGUCAACGCCAGGAAUCUUACCCGGAGACAGCAGAAUGAAGGUCAAGCUGAACUUUACCAGACAAGCUGAGAGGAGGUGCAU